GACGUUGUGGUGCAUAUGCAUGUGCUUGUUUGUGCAUCUAGCAUUUUUUGUCAGAGUGUCAGUCUGUCUGUCAGUCAAUUUGUGUGAAUGUUUGUCUGUUUGUUUGUCAAUAUCCACGUGUGUCAGUAGAGUCUCAUACUGUUUGUUUGUUUGUUUGUUUGUUGGGAUCGUCAAUUCAUCUGGUACUUUCAAAUCAAAAUGGAAUCUUUUCUCCCCCUGUAAUUAGAUUGGUCUUUGUUAACAGGCCAUUAGUUUUAAGUAAAGUAGUUUUAUUUCUGAGGAAGAUAUGAAUAAAUACAUCUCUUGUAUUGUGAAGAUCUUCGUUCUUAGUCAUACCUUUUCUACAGGCUUAGUUCAAUGAGAUAUUUGAAGCUAGAGAAACCUCACAAACCAAGGAAGAGAGAAGUCGAGAUAGAAGACAGUAACAAGGAAGAAAAUACCUGCCUCAGCUCUAGCUAAAGGCCACCGGAGUGAAAAAAAAGCAGAAGCUGUGGUUUUCUCAAUAAUGGAGACAGGGCAGAGUAAGGAAAAAUGGAGAUCAGUGGCUUCUCGAAUGCAGGAAAGAGUCAUGAAUGCAAAAUGGAAGAAGAAAGGAUGAAGAAACUAUUAACCCCAAUGCAAAAGAUGGCCUGAGAAGGGUGAACGAUUAAGGCAGAGCUGAGGUCUAGGAAUUUGCAGCAAAAUCCCAUUCCUCAACUGAAGUAAUUCUAUAAGAACUGCUACCAAGGGAGUGAGUUAUUGAGGGAUGUUUUAGUCCUCAGAUUGAAAAGCCAAAACUGAUUUGAAAGCUGUUUCCAGCACAGCGAGACAAGAAAACCAAAGCAAAGAGAUUGUGGAGGAAGCCUUCAUGUAUGCUGAUUAUGAAAUGAAUGAUCGCCUGAGAAUGUAAUAGUAGGCAGAAGGCUGAAAUUACAUAAGAGAAAGGUGAUGUAAAUAAGAAUUAAAUGGAUGUCAGCAGCUCAGAGAAAAAACAACCCUUUAUAGAAAUUUGAGUAAUUAUAGUAUUGUCAGGAAAAUUUUAACAGCUGUGUAUAUUUUCUUCACAAAGGAAACUAGGAAACUUUAAAGAUGUAUUUAUCUUUACAUUAAGUAUGCCCAUUAUGUGUUGAAGCCAUCAGAUAUGGACGUGUGUGUGUGUGUGUGUGUGUGUGUGUGUGUGUGUGUGUGUGUGUGUGUGUGUGUGUGUGUGUGUGUGUGUGUGUGUGUGUGUGUGUGUGUGUGUGUCUUUCAUUUACAAAAUAUGAUAGUUAUAAUGAUGAUGAUAAAAUGACAACAACAACCAUCAUUUAUCGCUAUAAAUGGUAUAUUCUUUUAAUUGUUAUUCAGUGCAUUUACAUUAUUUCUUACUUGUUUCAUACUAGGACUCUUAGCUUCCCAUUUUAGAUCAUAUAUAAAAAUGGUAACCACAAAAUUUUAAAACAAACAUUUAAAUCACUCAAGCCAAUCAGUCACUGCACUCACAAGAAUUACUGUAUUAAAGCCUGUGAACUUA